CAGUCGCCGCGGGAAUACAGAGGGUGCGAGCGUUAAUCGGAUUUACUGGGCGUAAAGCGUGCGUAGGCGGCUUCUUAAGUCGGAUGUGAAAUCCCUGAGCUUAACUUAGGAAUUGCAUUCGAUACUGGGAAGCUAGAGUAUGGGAGAGGAUGGUAGAAUUCCAGGUGUAGCGGUGAAAUGCGUAGAGAUCUGGAGGAAUACCGAUGGCGAAGGCAGCCAUCUGGCCUAAUACUGACGCUGAGGUACGAAAGCAUGGGGAGCAAACAGGAUUAGAUACCCCCAGUAGUCCCUGUCUCUUAUA
rnacentral:rRNA from 1 species